GGGUCGUUAGCUCAGUUGGUAGAGCAGUUGACUUUUAAUCAAUUGGUCGCAGGUUCGAAUCCUGAUUAGCUCA
rnacentral:tRNA from 1 species